UUGACACCCUUCCAAUUAGUGUUACAGAUUGGACCCCAACUCAGCUAUAAUGGAAUAUUAGGGGCAUUUUGGUUAGAUAACUACUUCCCACAGUUACAGUUUCAAUCUCAGUCUUAGCCUCAGCAAAAGAACUCAGAUAGUUCUUUAGAUUUCAGGACUGUCAGAUAUAGUCAACUCAGAUAUAGAACGGAACUCAGAUAGCUCUAUCAGAUUCAAGACUGCCAGAUAUAGUCAUUCA
rnacentral:lncRNA from 1 species